rnacentral:rRNA from 1 species
ACGAACGCUGGCGGCAUGCCUCACACCUGCAAGUCGAACGAGACCUUCGGGUCUAGUGGCGCACGGGUGCGUAACGCGUGGGAACCUGCCCUUAGGUUCGGAAUAACUCCCCGAAAGGGGUGCUAAUACCGGAUAAUGUCUUCGGACCAAAGAUUUAUCGCCUUUGGAUGGGCCCGCGUUGGAUUAGCUAGUUGGUAGGGUAAAAGCCUACCAAGGCGACGAUCCAUAGCUGGUCUGAGAGGAUGAUCAGCCACACUGGGACUGAGACACGGCCCAGACUCCUACGGGAGGCAGCAGUGGGGAAUAUUGGACAAUGGGCGAAAGCCUGAUCCAGCAAUGCCGCGUGAGUGAUGAAGGCCUUAGGGUUGUAAAGCUCUUUUACCCGGGAUGAUAAUGACAGUACCGGGAGAAUAAGCUCCGGCUAACUCCAUG